rnacentral:tRNA from 1 species
CAGGGAGACAACACAAUGAUUUUGAUGCCUGAGUGCUUUUAUUCUUAGGCCGAAAUCCUGUCACCUUAGGUCGAUCGGUACCUCAGCUUUGAAGUCAAGAAUCAGCAGCAAUGUUGAUUGCUUGAUGGAGAUUUUCAGUUCCUAAACUUUGUCUAGGUCACACCCCAAAAGGGAUGAGACUCCUGGGCCAUUAGCUCAGGUGGUUAGAGCGCACCCCUGAUAAGGGUGAGGUCCCUGGUUCAAGUCCAGGAUGGCCCAUUCGGUGUUGGGGGUUUAGCUCAGUUGGUAGAGCGCCUGCUUUGCAAGCAGGAUGUCAGGAGUUCGAGUCUCCUAACCUCCACUGACCGAACUUUUUCCCCAUCUCCAAAUCGUUGGAGCUGAGCUCGAUUGGCGUGUGAUUUAGAUGUGUCCGCUGGAUGACCCCAGCUUCCUGUCAUUCCAAGUUUUAAGUUGAAAGCUUUGAAUUUGGUUGAUAAGAUGCUGGGCUCGAACUGAGCAAUCAGUUUGAAGUUCUAGCAGAACCUUGACAACUGCAUAGGUGAAGUCUGGAAAAAACAAAGCAUCUUACAGAUGCAUUGUUUUGAAUCUGAUCUUCCGAAAGGGAGAUUGGAUCCAGAACAAUGAAAAUUCUUUUGAGCAAGAGCCGAGACUCUUGAACGUUCUUUGAUUGGUGUCGAGCCAAUCAGAGUUUGAUCUUGUUUUUAGCAAUAAAAACUGAGAAUCUGCUUCAACGGUGGUAGCGUUCAGAGGUAAUUG